GGGGCUGGUGGGGUUUACAGGCUGGGAAAUGAAGAGAUCAGGAAAGAAGGCGCAGGAGCAGCUGCGAGGGAGGCGGAGAACAGGCAGGGAUCAUCCUCAGGCCCUGGGUCCAGCCAAGGCCUGAGCAGGGUCAUGCAGCCCUGUCCCGCUCGGCUCCCGUCCGCUGCUGCCUGAGUGGUGCCUGUGUCGAAGGGCUCGGACUGUGGGCCUGCUGGGCUGGAGCCUGAAUCGUGGCCUGGCCACCCACUCUCCUAGGAGCCUUAGGCGAGUCACUAGUCCUCUCUGAGCCCCGGUUCCUCAUCUGUGAAAUGGAGAGAACAAGACAGUUGUAAAGAUUCAGAGGGUGUGUAAAAUGCAAGCACAUGGCCGACCAGAGCCCAGCCCUGCCCCAUGUGGCUCCUGUCCUGGGCAUGGCAGGAGGUCAGGGUUUCCAGCCUGCCGUUCAGCAGUACCCAGACAGGCACAGCUACCAGAAGGUGACCUCCCCAAGCCCACAGAGGCUUCCUGGGCACCCAGCCCAGCCUGAAACCUCCACCCAGGCGGCAGUGAGGCCUUCCUGCCUGUGGUCAGCUGUGGUGUAUCGAGGAGCCCUGGCCAGACACAGAGUCUCCUGACUACAUUGGUGUCACCUGGAUAAUCCAAGACACUCUCCCCGUCUGAAGAUCCCUCAUCAAACUGCAUCUGCCAAGCCCCUUUUGCAGAUCAAAGGAGAAGCGAAUUGUGAUCUAUUCCAUACGAGGGGCUUGGUGCCUGCAGCAACACGGGUGAAUCUCCAGAGAGUGGUGACGAGUUGGAGGAGCCAGUCAAAAAAGAAAGUGCUGUGUGAUUCCAUUUAUAGAAAACUCCAGAAAAUGUGGACUAAUCUAGAGUGAUGGAAAGCAGACCCAUGAUUGCCUGGGACAAGGAGCCUUGGGGGUGGAGGGGGGCCAGGGGGAGGAGUUUCAAAGGUGAUAAGGACAUUUUGAGGGUGAUGGAUGUGAUCCCUAUCUUAAUUGUGGCCAUGGCUUCAUGGAUAGAUACAAAUGUCAAAACAUAUUGAACUGUAUACUUUAAAUGCUCGCACUUUACUACAUGCCAAUCACAUCUUCAUAAAGCUGGGGUUUUUUUUGUUUUGUUUUGUUUUGUUUUUGUUUUUUUCUGUGUUUUUUUUUAAAAAAGGCCUGGAAAUGGAGAUGAGGACAGCCUGGCCUCAGUCUCCCCACUUGCAAUGUGGGGGAUCCCCAUGUGCCUUGCACCCCCUGAGAGCUCCAGGCUUAGGAGGAGACCAAGGUGAGCCCUGCUUCUAGCCAGAAACCCCGAGGCCCUAACCCCCAGGGCUGGAUAGCUGCAGGGCCCAGGCUACUGCCCCUCCGGGGAUGGACAGGUGCGAGGCCCCUCCAGAGGCGUAACCUGUUUCCGGCAGGCCGUGGCCGUGAGGAGAAGAGUGCGGAGGUCCCUUUCUUCUUUCUUCCUGAAUAAAAAAAUGCAUGAUGC
rnacentral:lncRNA from 1 species